rnacentral:rRNA from 1 species
CAGUAGCCGCGGUAAUACGUAGGUGGCAAGCGUUGUCCGAAAUUAUUGGGCGUAAAGGGCUCGCAGGCGGUUUCUUAAGUCUGAUGUGAAAGCCCCCGGCUCAACCGGGGAGGGUCAUUGGAAACUGGGAAACUUGAGUGCAGAAGAGGAGAGUGGAAUUCCACGUGUAGCGGUGAAAUGCGUAGAGAUGUGGAGGAACACCUGUGGCGAAGGCGACUCUCUGGUCUGUAACUGACGCUGAGGAGCGAAAGCGUGGGGAGCGAACAGGAUUAGAUACCCGGGUAGUCCCUGUCUCUUAUAC